GGGGAUGUAGCUCAGUGGCACAGUGCCUGCCCAGCAAGCAUGAGGCCCUGGGUUCGAUUCCCAGUACCA
rnacentral:tRNA from 1 species